CUUGCAAACUAAAGAUGGCGACCGGCGCACGGGUGAGUGACACGUAUCCAACCUGCCGAUAACUCGGGGAUAGCCUUUCGAAAGAAAGAUUAAUAUCCGAUAGUAUAUUAAAACCGCAUGGUUUUACUAUUAAAGAAUUUCGGUUAUCGAUGGGGAUGCGUUCCAUUAGUUUGUUGGCGGGGUAACGGCCCACCAAGACUACGAUGGAUAGGGGUUCUGAGAGGAAGGUCCCCCACAUUGGAACUGAGACACGGUCCAA
rnacentral:rRNA from 1 species